UCCCCUACUGCAGCUACCAUAAUUUCAAAUUAUUCUCUAUACUCAACAACUGAUUGUUUGAUUUCUAGAAAUUGUUGCAUAACACUUCCUAUUCUCUUAAUGCCAAAUCGAUCAAGUAGAUGAUGUUUUAGAUCUGUCUAGUCUUUGAUUGGUUGGCGAUGAUCUUCCCAUUUGAACAAUUUGAGGGCUCUAUUUUCAAAACUAAUGCAUGUAGCUGCUAAUUUC
rnacentral:lncRNA from 1 species